AUUGAUGUUGAGAUUGAAUCGUUUACCAGAAAUGAUCAAGAUGAGAAUAUUAUAUCAAAUGAUUCAUAUAUUAGAAAUGAUCAUAAUGAGGGUAUUUGGAUCAAUCCAACCGUCCGUGUUGUUAAGAGACAUGUAGAACAUAUUCCAACCAAGAAAAGAAAGAGAACUUAGUGAAAAAGGUAAAAUGGCUAUUAUGAAGUCAAUCAUUCGUGCAAGGGGCAAGGGAUUGAAAGUAUCAAUUGAUAUUUGUGUAGAUGGAGAUGUUCCAUUGUCGUCAAGCCUCAUUCGCGUAGAUGAUGAUGCUGGAUAUUUGAAAGUAUCCCUCUACGACAAUGGAACAUGUCCAUCUAAACAAAUAUCAAUUCUAUCUUCAAAAGAUAAGGGACCAAAAAUAUAAGGGGAUUACGCAGCAAAUCGAGUCAGUUGCAUCAAAAAAAAAGGUUCAUGCUAUUGAUAUUGAACAAAAAGAGGUUGUUGCUAAGAAGACUGCGGCUAGCAAAAAAAACAUACAUCUCAGAGAUGCUUUUGCUACUUAGUUUUAUUUCUUUUUAAGUUAUGAAUU